rnacentral:misc_RNA from 1 species
GAUGAAGAACGUAGCGAAAUGCGAUACGUAAUGUGAAUUGCAGAAUUCAGUGAAUCAUCGAAUCUUUGAACGCAUAUUGCGCUCUCUGGUAUUCCGGAGAGCAUGCUUGUUUGAGUAUCAGUAAACACCUCAACUUCCAUAUCUUUUUUGAAAUGGGAGUUGGACUUGAGUGAUCCCAACGCUUUUCCUCACCGAAAAGUGGCGGGUUACUUGAAAUGCAGGUGCAGCUGGACUUUUCUCUGAGCUAUAAGCAUAUCUAUUUAGUCUGCCUAAAAAACAGAUUAUUACCUUUGCUGCAGCUAACAUAAAGGAGAUUAGUUCUUGUGCUGACUGAUGCAGGAUUCACAAAGACGGCUUCGGCCGACUUUGUAAACUCGAUCUCAAUUCAAGUAAGACUACCCGCUGAACUUAAGCAUAUCAAUAAGCGGAGGA